AUGUAAUAAGUAAUUAUUGAUUACUUUAUGUUUUUGAAUUACACAAUAAUCUUUCAUUGAUAUCUUAUAAUUUACUCUGUUGGUGUGUUCACAUAUAGGCUCGUACUAAGAUAAAUUUAGAGAAUUGAAAAAGACAAUUAAUCAGCCAUGCUGCAAGCACAAAGAGCUUUGCACGGAUAUGUGAGGAAGAGAGGAAGAAAACGUCUAGUGGCGAGGAUCCAAGCUGGGCAGAUGUGUUUAUAUUGACCCAUACGUGCAAGAGUGGUAGGCCUGUGGAUGAGGCUUCAUUAAGAGUAAUGGAACAACUUAAUGAAUGAAUUUCUUAGCAGCCCAAUACCUCACAGAAUAACACAGGAAGGAAUGACUUAUUUUCUCAAGUAAUGGGAGAAGAUCGACAUGGCUGAGUCCGCACUUAUGGGUUAGGCCCCACUCCGACUGAUUUGUGGGGAACAACACCUAGCCAACGAAGAAUUACCUACGUUGCUCAGAGUAGAAAUGAAGAAUAUGAGGGACUGCAGAUUGAAGUAUCAUCCCUAAAAUUAAAAUUUUCAUCUUUUAAAGAAUCUAGGUGCCGCUGAUAUCCUAUAGGACAAAUCUGAAAUCCACAGUAUCAGAGAAUUCAGCUAAUCUCAACCCAAACCAACCGGCCUCAUCAUCAAGCUAGGGACACUUAGCAAAAAAGGGAAAAACUACGACUUGCAGUAGUACCAGGGUAAAUUUUCACACCAAUUGAAUAGUUCUUUUAUUAUGUUUUGAGAUUAUUGUGUUCUUAAUUAGAUGUGGUAUACAAAUGAUGCAAUGUAUUGUGUUAAAUAGUAAAUUUUAUUUGUAGGACAUGAUCGAAGUUCUUCUUACUAGUAUCCGUGGGGUUACUGUUGCUAGAGGAAUUGUCUUAAGUAAGGAUCUGCUCACAAAAGUAAGCGGGUUCCCACUUGGAAAUGGUUUUUGGAAAGUAUAUAUUUAGGUGGCAAUUGUACGUAAAGAGACUUCGAUGAGACCCUAUAGACGAUAUAGAACAAUUGGAGAUGCGGCUGGAACAAGUAUUUGUUGGCCUGAUUGUCGUUGUUUGGUUGUGACAGCUAUGGAUUGAGCUAAAUGGAGGGAUCUCUCUCUCUCUCUCUCUCUCUCUCUCUCUCUCUCUCUCUCUCUUUCUCUUGUUAUUUUUAAAAAAAAAAUGAUUUUGGCAGUUGGUUGUGACAACUAAUGUUUGUUUCAUGUUAGUAUAUAUAUUUUUUUAAUAUUGCAAUGCAAAUUGUAUAUAUGUGAAACUAUUAGUAUUCAAACUAACUCAGAGAUUUAUGUUGUGAUUUGU